CCUACGGGUGGCAGCAGUGAGGAAUAUUGGUCAAUGGACGCGAGCCUGAACCAGCCAAGUCGCGUGAGGGAUGACGGCCCUAUGGGUUGUAAACCUCUUUUAUAAAGGAAUAAAACGAGGCACGUGUGCCUUUUUGUAUGUACCUUAUGAAUAAGGCUCGGCUAACUCCGUGCCAGCCGCCGCGGUAAUACGGAGGAUCCGAGCGUUAUCCGGAUUUAUUGGGUUUAAAGGGAUCGGAGAUGGGUUGUUAAGUCAGUUGUGAAAGUUUGUGGCUCAACCCUAAAAUUGCCAUUGAAACUGGCGGUCUUGAGUACAGUUGAGGUAUGCGGAAUGCGUGGUGUAGCGGUGAAAUGCAUAGAUAUCACGCAGAACCCCGAUUGCGAAGGCAGCUUACUAACCUGUGACUGACACUGAUGCACGAAAGUGUGGGUAUCAAACAGGAUUAGAUACCCUGGUAGUC
rnacentral:rRNA from 1 species